UACGUAGGUGGCGAGCGUUGUCCGGAUUUACUGGGCGUAAAGAGCGCGCAGGCGGUCGGAUCAGUCGAAUGUGAAAGCCCCCCGGCUUAACUGGGGGAGGGUCAUUCGAUACUGUUCGACUCGAAGGCAGGAGAGGGAAGUGGAAUUCCCGGUGUAGUGGUGAAAUGCGUAGAUAUCGGGAGGAACACCAGUGGCGAAGGCGGUGUUCUGGGCCGGAACUGACGCUGAGGGACGAAAGCUAGGGGAGCGAACGGG
rnacentral:rRNA from 1 species